CUGUUUCCCAGGUUCCUGAGCAACCCGUGGCCACUCACAAUAUGGAAGGGUGCUGGGAAUAUGGGGCAGUGGAACCUUUAAAUAUCUGAAUGGAGCCUGGAGGGCAGAAGAGAGAGCCCUGGUUGUUAUACAACCUUAACCACAAAACUGCUGCUUUACCAGCCCAUGAGGUCAAGCCCAGUAUUUGCUAUAAGGAAUGGUGGUGCACUGAAUGCUCCGUGAGGUUCACUCUCAUACAUCAUCACACUUCAAUUACGGCUGCCAUUUUUGUUGUUGCUCUUACAAGUACCAAGAACUGCUGUGUUUUGAGGCCACCCUCACUUAAAUCCAGUUCACUGCAAGUCAUGACAUCACCCCGAUGUCCUGAUCCUCUUCAAGAACAAGGAUCACCACCACCACCAGCAUCCUUUAUACUCUGUCAGAAGCGAGAACAGAGGCCGUUGGAGAGGACAGGAAAGUACUUCCUCUGUUUCUGUCUUCUGUCAGGAAUAACCUGCCAUUAACAGACUCCAUGUGGGCCUGAGGCCACAAAGAAGAGAUGCUAUUCUGAAUGACUAAUGAAGUGAUCAAUCAGAACACUUGGAUAUGAAAGAUAUGCAGAGCGUCCAUGGGUUUCUUGUCAUUGCUGCCAACUUUAGAAAAGUAACAGUAACUCUGAUCAAACAGGUUAACUCUGAUCAAACAGGUUAACUCUGAUCAAACAGUUUAUCCACUUCCAGACAGAGGGAGGAUGCACGUGCGUAUACACACAAACACACAGCUAAUGAGAGAAUUUGUUUUGCUUGACUAUACAAUUUAUAACGGGUUUUGUUUUUCUUGCUUUCUCACUGGGUGGGGGAUUGGAAGUGGGAGGAAAAGAAUUUAGAACUAAAACUAAGAUAAAGUUGAAUUUUAGAGAAUAUGGUAAUUCAUCAUGUUGUACUAAGAGAUUCUGAGGAAGAUCCAUAGACAGGGCAAUGGACCACCCUGCUGAGUGACUAGGUCUCAUGAGAGUCAAGAAGGUUUUGGGAGGACCCAAACCCAGUAAGAUUAGCUAGUGGUAUGAAAGGGUAGAAACGAUAGACUGUCAAAGUUCUUGAAAUGAGGGAAUAUUUCAUUCCUUCUCUCUGUAUUACACACCAGCCCAGUGCCUAGUAUGUAAAAGGCCUUUAACAAAUACUUGUUGAUUAAUUGAAAUGGAAAUGAAGAGCACAGGGGUCAUCAAUUCUGGUAUUCAAUGUAUCUCUUGUUAGAUUCAGUGAUGAUUGCUUUACUAAUGGAUGGCAGAAUCUUAAAUGAAGAAUUAGUUUCUUUCCUCCAUCCCACCCCCUACAACUGGGCUGUCUUACCUUACCUUCCAACAUUCUAAACAUCUAGAGGGUAAAGAUUUGUUCUAUCUCUUGUGUUCUUGCUUCAGAUUAUUACUAGUAUCUUUCUCUACACUCAGAGUUUGAUAUACUAUUAUCCUUCUUGGGGAAGGGGGUCUCCUUGUAUCCCCUCAAAGGUGGGUUUUCCUUACAACUAUACUCUUUCGGUGCACUAGGAAAUAAACACAUUUAGUUGGGGUAGAAGACCAACAUGCUUAUACCAAAAUCCAUUUGGUAGUGAGAAGCAUUCUAGUGUUGUCACAUAGUAUUAAAUAAUAUGUCAAGAAUUUUUGUGUAAUUUGACACGCAAGGAAAAUGAACACAGAGGACAAGUAGCCAUCCUUCAGUACCUAAACAGAUCUGAGAUUCCACGGAUGUGGAUAUUCCUUUGACAAUAUAGAUCAUCAUGUGAGCGUGUCUUACUAGAUAGUUUUGUGAGUUACUGUAGACAAAAAUCCUCCACCUGGAGGUUAAACUUUUGGUCAGCUUCUCUAAAAUUACCGAGGUGGUCUCUGGAUUGUGUUCUAUCAUCAGAGCCAUACAGGAAGCCUUUCUGACUAGCAAGUCUAAAGAAUAUAUUCCUCUGGUGUAGUCUUCAAGAAGCCAGAGUCAUUUUCUCAUCAUGAAGAGGUAUGGGAGUGGGAAUUAAAGACAGCUUUAAUACAGAGCUCAUCAUGAAGUAGGCUUCAUGUACAAUGGGUGCUAGCCAGUGCCCUAGAAUUUGUGGGGCAAGCCUGAGCCCUGUGCCCAAAUCCCCCCUUUUUGAAAGACUUUUUGCCAUUUGUUUCUAUAGUUGGUACCAUGGUCAUUGUGGCUAUUGGAUUGGCAAACUGGGAAGGGUUAUGUGUUGUUGGAAUUAGGAUUACCGGUAUGAACCAGAGUAGCUGGCUCCCUAUCUAGUUUUCCAUCUUGUGCCUGCUUCUCUGUUUCUCUGAUUUUUUUUUUUUUCAUGUUGUCUCUCCCCUCAGACUGUGAGCUUUUUGAAAGCAGGGACUGUGUUUUGUCAGUACCUGGAACAUGGAAAAUGAAACAUUUUCUGGCAUCAUCCACAGACAUGUUUUUCAAUGUUCUUUAAGAUAAGACAGCUUUGAAAAUAAACUGGUGGUUGGCGAUUCCUGGUCCUGCUCCCAAGAGGGAAGACUGCCAAGAUGCUGACAGUUUAGUCUGGACAGGGGACCUGGGAAGGCACUUACAACACUUCUGAAAACUGACCGAUCCUUCCUCUUUCAUUGGCUGCAGAACUCCAGGAUUCCUAGAUGAGGCAUAACAUCGGCCUUCUGGGAUUGUUGUCCCAGAAAACCAUCAUUGUUAUCCCUGGGCCUCGCCAGAAACAUGUUUCAAGCAUCUUUGAUUUCUUCUAUGUCGGGGGAAAUGUGACAGUAGCCAACAGUGUGCAUGUAUCUGGCAAUUUAAGGUUUACGUCAGGAGAACAAUUUAGUCAAGUAUUACUUUCUUCAGAAAACAUGUCCUUAUUGUAGCACAUAAACGGUGGAAUGUGAGCAGAUGGAGAGAAUGCAGAGACCCACGAAUCCCCUCUUUUUUCCCCUCCCUUCCCCCCAAAAUGGGGAAGGUAAAGACCAAUUUUUUACCUUCGCUAUGGACCCUGCUUUCUGAGCAAAGGGGGACCCUCAGAAGGGCAGCAGUGCCAAGCUUGGGUCUGUGUAUCUCAAAGGGAAAGAGAUUUCCCAUUGUCUUGCAGGAGGACACUUCCCAACAUGAGCAGGACUCUUUCUAACCUUGAUGUACCAGUGCUUCCUGCUCCUAUUCUGCCCCAAGAGGCAGCGUGGACCCAAAGAUGGCUAAAUUUCACAUCAAAGGAGUUGGUUUCAAAUGAGUUAUCUGCCACUUACUACAGAGAGUAGUGCAGUAGAAAGGAGGGAUUCUGACUUCAGGCUCCCUGGGUUCAAAUGCUACCAUUUACUGCAUGUGUGUGACCUUGAGCAAAUCACCUAUCUCCUUUAGAGGUCAUCAGAAAAAUGAAGUCAGUGGAUAGGUAUUUGUUUAAGCACUUACUAUGUGGCAGGCGUUGUGCUAAGCGCUGAAAUUACAAAUGCGAGGAAAAAGAGCCCUGCCCUCAAGAAGCUUACAUUUUAAUGGAGGGGAGAGAGGCAAAGCUGGGUGGUUCAGUACAUAGAGUGCCAGGCCUGGAGUUAGGAAGACUCAUCUUCCUGAGGUCAAAUCCAUCCUCAGAAAGACAUAUGAUAUCGACCUGGAAGGGCCUGCAUGAGCUGAUACAAGAAUGAAAUGUACUGUAUACAAAAUAACAGCAACAUUGUGAGAUGAUCUGCUGUAAAUGACUUGGAUCCAAGACAACUCUGAAGGGCUUAUGAAAAAUGCAA